CUUCUUUGAUGAUGUCAAGUCAUGACUUUCGUUCUUCUGAGUAUUCUGAAGCCACCAAGCUUAUCUGAGAAAG